rnacentral:misc_RNA from 1 species
CAACUUUCAACAAAUAAUUUGACUAUACAAGAGGCAAGUAAGAUACUUCAAAUUCAGCCUGUGAUGAGUCUGUCUUUCCGCAAAGCUUCAUAUUUCAAAUCAGGGUAAUGCCACCUUAAAGAAGUGAAGCAUUAUCCAAUAGCUAAAGAUUCAAGCAAACAGAGAAGAACUUACAAGGCACAGGACAGCCCAAGACUGUUCAACCACAGCAUCCUGGAUCCAAAUGACUGGACAAUAGCUAUCCCUUAACUUGAUCCUUUCAAUGUUUCUACAUUUUCUAAGGGACCAGUGCAGACGCUUUGGUUGUUACUAUGCAAAGUUGCAAAAGUACUUUUAAUCUGCAUAUAAGAUUUGGCAACUGAAGCAAGCCAUUACUAUCAAGGAUCCUAAUCAUAACUAGCCUCAUAGACAACACUUUCACUUCUGAAUCAAUCAUUUAAAGCAUCCAACCAUACAUAACAUUAUGAGUAUAAGAUAAACACAAGCGGUUCAUUGAACAAGAGAACAUAUAUUACAAUUUUCUACCCUCCCUCGUGUUCAACAAAUAUCCACAGACUAACAGGAUCUUUCCAACAUCGAGUCCGCAACAAAAACAUCAGAAACAAAAGGGCAUUUUAGCUCUUCCGUUAUUUUACCUAACUGAUAUAACAAACAUGGGGUAGCAAAUUCUUUUGAAUUUGGUGGAGGGGUUGUUCCUGAUCAACCCAUGGCAUACUUCUGUGUCCAGCUGCGAGCAGUGGCCUCAUACUUGGCUCUGUCAGUCUUGUACAUGUGAGCAAUUUCAGGGACGAGUGGAUCAUCAGGAUUUGGAUCAGUCAACAGGGAGCAUAUAGACAAGAGCACCUUGGAGAUUGUUAGCGCUGGGCUCCAUUGUUCCUUAAGAAUAUCCAGACAUAUGCUUCCAUUACUAUUAAUGUUCGGGUGGAAGACUUUUGUCCUAAAAGCAACCUGAGAUUAUAUUUUGGUCAUUACAAUCAUUAUUUUCACAAUGCAAUACACAACACUAAAAGUCCAGCAUAUUAUCUGCCUACAGAACUGAUAAUGCAAAACUAAGAAUAGAAUUGACAAGAGAACAAGACUCAAUUUUGUUUUCCCUUUGGUUUGAUUUGGCUCUUAAUGGAGUUUGAACUUUUACCCUCACAUCCUUGGAGAGGACUGCAAUACCAUUGAGCCAAAGCUCAAUUAUACACAAUACUUAAUUUUGAAAACUAAAACAAGUAUCUAAAGGAAAAGAGACCCACAAAAGAUGACUUGAUAUACAAAACAGUACGUGCACAUCAUCAAGGACAUGUACUAAGCAUACCCACCAUAUUAAAAUACACGACACCCCAAACCUAUCACAUGCAAAAGGAUCAUUUUCAAUUCAAGCAUAGCAACCAAAACGAUGCAACUAAAUUAGUAGAACAUAACGAUUUUGGAAAGGAUAUGUUUUUAUAACUAAAAUAACCCACAAAAGUAUUUGACUUUCACUUAAAAUCAGGGCUCAAGUACCUUGAAUGAAAAGAAUUUUAAUCCUAAGGGUCUAUAUGGAUGAGGAUAAUAAGGGUAAAUAAAGGUAAGGAGCGUAAAUAACUAUUUUAUCUCUUUUUGGAAAAAGGUAAGUUAAUUGAGGAUAAGAGUAUGUAAAGGUAAAUCUUCCACUUCUUACCCCUUAAAUCUCAAUUUUUCUUAUUCUCAAGUAGAGAUAAGAAUUAUAAAUAUUUUAUUUAUACACCGUUUAAAUUUACCUCUCAUGCAUUGCCCCUCCUUCCCUUUCCAUUGACUCGGUCCUUCUCAAAUAUGAAAUUUUUUUUAUUAUAACACUAAAGGACCCUUCCCCUUUCUUCCUCUCUUUUGCCUUUCCAUUACUUAAACUUCACUCACCCCAUCCAAACAGACCCUAACUUUCAGGAUUAAGGGUAAAAAAAAUAUGGAAUAUUCAUCCUCUAAUUGCACUAUGUUUGGGAGGAAUUUUUGGAGGUAAGGCAUGGUUUUGCAGCGGGUUCUUCUUUCUACUUCCCAAAUGUGUAAACCCAACAUUAUCGCCACUGAAUACCAGAAACAGGAGCAUUAACCAUAAGUAAAUGGGGAAAAAAAGCAACAUACCUUGGGAGGUUUAAAGGGAUAAUCAGGAGGGAAAUGAAUAGAAACUAAGAAGACUCCUCCAGCAUAAGGGCUAUCAGCAGGACCCAUAAUCGUUGCUUGCCAAUGGAACAUGUCCUCAGCCACAGGACCAGCACUGCAAGAGGUAGGAGGAUCCUUCUGGAGAUCCUUGAGCUCCUUCAAGAUCCGCUUCGAUGCCAUCAAUAAGAACAGAAGAUAAAAUCCCUAAAGAAUUGGCAAACCCUAGAUCCCUGAGCUGGCUGAGAGAGAUCCUCCUGAUUAUUAUUAGAAUCUGAGAAAAGCAGAAAAUGUAGAAAGAGACCUGACAGUGAAAAGGCGAAUUGGGUUUUAUAUAGGAGGGAGUGGGUCUUAC